CCUACGGGGUGCAGCAGUGAGGAAUAUUGGUCAAUGGACGAGAGUCUGAACCAGCCAAGUAGCGUGAAGGAUGACUGCCCUAUGGGUUGUAAACUUCUUUUAUAUGGGAAUAAAAUGUUCCACGUGUGGGAUUUUGUAUGUACCAUAUGAAUAAGGAUCGGCUAACUCCGUGCCAGCAGCCGCGGUAAUACGGAGGAUCCGAGCGUUAUCCGGAUUUAUUGGGUUUAAAGGGAGCGUAGGUGGAUUGUUAAGUCAGUUGUGAAAGUUUGCGGCUCAACCGUAAAAUUGCAGUUGAAACUGGCAGUCUUGAGUACAGUAGAGGUGGGCGGAAUUCGUGGUGUAGCGGUGAAAUGCUUAGAUAUCACGAAGAACUCCGAUUGCGAAGGCAGUUCACUGGACUGCAACUGACACUGAGGCUCGAAAGUGUGGGUAUCAAACAGGAUUAGAGACCCCUGUAGUC
rnacentral:rRNA from 1 species